GUUCAUUACUGAAUAUAAACUAAAAUUUGGGAUAAUACGGAGAAGAUUAACAUGGCCCCUGCGCAAGGUUGAUACGCGAAUUCGUGAUGUAUUCCAAAGGAUU
rnacentral:snRNA from 1 species